rnacentral:lncRNA from 1 species
AUAAAUUAGCCAAGACACACAGACAUCGAUCUGCACCUAACCAUUAGCUUAGCUGCAUGCCUGCAUGUUCACCAUUCAUUUCUUAGCGAGAGUGUCUUCUAGCUAUCAACUCGAUCUAGCUUCUAAUAAUUUCUCUUCUCUUUUUUCAUCACUACUAACUAAUUCUUCUCUAAUUAAUUAACUAAUGGCAUAUCAGAAGGAUACAGAAAAUUCGGAAACAAUAGAGAGUUUUAUCCAUCGAUGGGAAAGAGAAAAACCAAAGAUAUUUUCACCUGAGCAGCUACAAGACUUCACUUCAAAUUUUUCUAAGAAGUUAGGCUAUGGUUCAUUUGGAGAUGUUUUUCAAGGCAUAUACAAUGAAAAGCAAGUGGCUGUUAAGGUUCUCAAACAAGAAGUACUGGCCGACAAUAUAAAAGAUCAAUUCAUCGCUGAAGUGAGCACACUAGGGAAGAUUCAUCAUAGAAAUUUGGUCAAGCUCUAUGGCUUCUGCUUCCAACUCAAUAUGAAAGCGCUUGUAUAUGAAUUCAUGGAGAAGGGAUCUCUUGAUAAUAUUUUAUUUGAUGAUGGAAAACCAAGUAUAAAGUGGGAGACGUUGUGUAACAUUGCGAUUGGGACUGCAAAGGGACUCUCCUAUCUUCAUGAGGAUUGUCAACCCAGUAUAAUUCAUUAUGACAUUAAGCCUUCUAAUGUUCUGCUGGACUCAAACUUUUUUCCUAAAAUUGGUGAUUUUGGAUUGGCUAAGCUUCUUAAGAUGGAUAGAACCCAUGUCACCAUGUUUGAAUCUAGAGGGACUCCUUAUUAUUGCGCACCAGAGCUAUCUCUUCCAUACUUAACAAAAAUAAAUCACAAAUGUGAUGUUUACAGCUUUGGUAUGAUGUUAUUUGAUAUUGUAUCCAUGAGUAAACAUCAAAGUCAAGAGGCCGAAGACUGGUUCCCAAGAACAGUUUGGGAUAAGUACGAGAAAGGAAAACUAGAGGAGGUUAUGACAGACUGCAUUGAGGAGAAAGAUAAAGAUAUGGCCAAGAGAAUAUUAAUGAUUGCACUAAAUUGUGUGGAAUUUUUUGCUUCUAACAGACCAUCCAUGAGUGAUGUAGUGAGACUUCUUGAGGGUACAAAAGACCCUCCCUUGCCUCCUAAUCGGUUUUUGUCAUCUCCUCCGCAGGCUACUUCGAGCAUAGUGGUACCUAAUAAUAGGUACAAUCCCUAUUAUUCUUAUUGAUUCAUUAUUUUUUGACGUACCUCCACAAUGUUGCAACUCCCUUCUGAUAUAUUUUGAAAUUGCAGGAACCUUGAGCGUGAAAGCGGGGUUGUGGAUAAGAUGAUUAAUUCUCAUGAUGAGAAGGAAAAGGUUAAUAUCUCCCUUUAUAUUGUUUAAGAUAGUGAUAUUCUUUUGAAGUUUUCAUAAUCUUGAUAAUCAUUUCUGACAUAUGGUGAGCAAGUUUUUUGUCCUUAAUUUUUCUUUACACUAUUUACACAUGUUAAUAUAUAUUACUAAUGAGAACCUUUUCAAUGUUUGUUCUAUAAAUUGCAUGACACAGGAGAGGGAUGGCGAUAUAAUCGUUGAAAUAAGAUAUAAAUCAAUUGGUCCCUGGGGUGGCUCAGGAGGUUCUGAAUGGGAUGAUGGAGUUUUCCCUGGCAUUUUGCAGAUUGAAAUAGUUAGUGCUAGAAGAGAGAUCUGUUCGAUCGAGAUUGAGUAUUGCGGAAAUGAUGGAACAUCAGUCGGUUGGUCUAAUAAGCAUGGACAUAAUCCGGGUCAGCAAACUGACAAUGUAAUGUACUUUUAUUAUAAUUUAUUUUAAGAAUCCUGAACCUUAAUUACCCCAACAUGCAUAUGAUUGAAACAAUUUUAGCUUGUCAUUAACUUUAACGAUUUAUUUAUUUAUUGCAGAUAGUAUUUGAUUACCCAAGUGAGUACUUGAUGGGAAUUACAGGGUUCAUGCAUGUCUCUCGUAAUUCAAACAUAGCCGUGAGAUCUUUAAGUUUCAUCACCAACAAGAAAAUUCAUGGACCUUAUGGUGUUAACCUUAUUGUGAAGGGGGAUCCCUUUACUUCUGGGAAGCUUGGGAAAGUUGUUGGGUUUCAUGGUAGAAGUGGAGCUUGGUUGGAUGCUAUAGGUGUUCAUAUGGAGGCCGAUGAUCCCAACAUUUGAUACUUCACCCUGCUACCUAUUUGUUGUUCUUGCAAGUACAAGAUGCUAUAGGUGUUCCUACGGAGGAUCCCAACAUUUGGUACUUCAACCUACUACCUAUUUCAUGUUCCUGCAUCUAAUUGCGCGUGUUUUUUGUUCUAUAAUAUGGGGUGGAUAUCCUUUAAUUUUGAGUCUGAAUCAUCUGUACGUGUCUCUAUUAUAUGGCCUCUGCUAGACUGCUACUGCUAGAGAAUUAUUAAGAGUUGUUUCCAGUUCUAAUGUUCUAUAUUAUAUUUUUAUCUUCUAACUAUCUUUCUUAUUAGCACAUCUAUAUCACAGUUAACAAAGAUCCAAGCUGUUUAUUAUAAAGAAUAAAGAAACUAAAAGAAACCAAUUAAACAUUUCAAAAAUCCUCCAUGCAUGAUAAUCAUAGCAUAUCAAAUCACAACCUGGAAGAAAGAAACCAUGAAGAAGAAAGAAAGGAAGAAAAUGCUCGUGUGUUUGUUUUCAAUUUUUCAUGGUAGCAUUGCAAUAAAAAUUGGGCUAAACACCGAAGUUGGAUAAGCUGAUUGGGCUUUGAUUUCAUUUAAAUAGCCCAGACACAAACACCAGACCACCAAAGUCCACACACUGACACACACACACUCUGUUCCAUUUGAUGGAGUUGCAGAACAAAGCCAUUUAUUCAAUACAUUUUAACUCAGUACAUUACUUUGCGAGCAACAUUUUCGUCCACACAAUGUGACUAGGACAACUUGGUAACGGGUUAUGCAAUUUUUAUUGUUUUUUUUAGUUUUUUAGUUAAACAUACAGAUGGCAGUUGUAUGGAUGACAAAAUUGCUAUAUAUGACAAAAUUCAAGAAACAAUAAGAGCAAAUUUUUGUUGACUUUAGACUAACCGGUAGCAAGUUUCCACUUGAGUCCACGUGGGAAGAUUGUGUGGUGUACAAGCAAAUGUACCGUAAUACACCAUACCGAAAAUGUACCGAAUAACAGCUAGCAGAACAAUGGCUGUUUUCACAAUUAGAAAACUCAGUAAAAAUCCUAUCUUUUUCUCUCGUGGCUUCUUCGUCAGCUCAACCCAUGGAUUUCAGCAGAUACAACGAAGAAAAAGAUUUUACAAAGAGAGCAAAUGUGGUUCUUGUUUAAUGUUAUGUCUUUGUCCAUGUCUGAUUCUCUUCAUUCUUCUCUUAAUCAUACUCACCAUCUUUUUCUUUUACAAAAAUCACAAUUGUUAAGUAAAAAACUUCCAAUUCAACUUAAACCAACUAUAUCAGAAACCCCUUUUCAUUUGAGAAUAAAAAUCCCAACUUUGAAUUACAGUAUUGUUAAUGAUAAUGAGGGGGUGGAAGAAAUUGAGGGUAAUGAUGAGAGUAUGUAAGGUGAUUAAUGAAUGGUUUGCAUCAGAUCAGAAUAUGGACGCUAUUCUUGACCAAUGUGGUAUCGAUUUAACUCAUGAUCUUGUGAUGGAUGUGUUAGCUCAAUUUCGGCAUGCUAGAAACUAGAAAGCCAGCUUUUAGAUUUUUUUUUUUUUUUUUUUUUCUGUUGGGCAGGGAAGAAACCGGGGUUUGAGCAUGAUUCGAGGACAUAUAAUAUAUUCGAUGAUGGAAAUAUUUGGGAAGACAAAUCAAUUUGAAAUUAUGGAUAGACUUCUGUGGUUCUACCUAUGAUACCAAGGUUAACCAUUAGAUGAGGUGGCGACAAUAGCUCACAACAUAAUGCUUGAAGGAUUGUUGAGUGGUAGAAGGGAGUCUGAACUCUGAAGCAAUCAAGUUGUUUGAACUCAUGUAAGGCAACGGCUCUUCACCAAAUGUUUGAUGCUGCACCAUUUUGAGUAGAGAUUUGCAUGUGUAAGAGAAAUAAGAUGGAGCUAGCUGUUGAAUAUUUUGACGAAAUGUUUGAUGUUGGUUGGUAUCCCGAUCCUGCGGUAUACACAUGUUUGAUGAUUGGGUUUGGAAACCAGAAGAUGAUGGAUAAGGUCUAUCAAUUGCUAAAAGAGAUGAAGAGUGUUCUCAUUAAACUUAUGACCAAUUGGCAAAUGCCAGAUGAUGCAGUUAGGAUAUAUAAAAAAUAAUUCAGAAUGGACACAAGCCAAACAUCCGCACUUAUAACAUGAUGAUGAAGUCUUAUUUUCAGGUGAAGAACCAUGAGAUGGGUUGUGCUGUGUGGGAGGAAAUGGCAUCCAAUGGUUUCUGUCCUGAUGAAAACUCAUAUACUGUAUUUGUUGAAGGUCUUAUUAUAUAAUAUAAGAUAUGGGAGAUGUGAAGAGGCUUGUAAAUAUUUGGAGGAAGUGAUAGAGAAAUGUAUGAAGGUUCCUCAGCUUGACUACAAUAAAUUUGCGGCAGAUUUCUAGAGCCGGAAGGCCAAAAUUUCUAGAAGAAUUGGCUCAAAAGAUGAAAUUCUCAGGUAAGUUUGAGGCUUCCAACGUAUUUGCGAGGUGGUCUGAUUGGAUGAAGAAAUGAAUUAAGUAGAGUGACCCUGCUCAUUUGCAUGCCAGCUAAAAGAGUUCAUCACUCGAGCUCAAAAGUAACUAUAUUUGAUUAUGCCUUUGUAGUUUGUAUAUCUUUUGUAUUGUAUGGCUUUGAUCUUUGCUGUGGCGCUUGGCUUCCAACUAAUUCAUUUGUACUUCUUUGUUUCAAUUGAUUCAUUUGAGUUCCGAAUCUUUUACCAAAACAUUAGAAAGAAAAAUCUUAUUAGGGUAUAUCCUUGGUUUUCUUUCCUUAUCUCUGCGCCCAUCCAAUCUGUCAUCUCCAUUUCCCAAGAUACUUGCAUUGCGAGGUGGUAUGAGAUGACAAUGGAUUUAAGAAUGCCUUGUGUGACAAGCAUCAUGGUGAAAGGAUUCACACCACUGGAAGAAUUUGAUUUCCAGGACAGGCAUAAAUUGGAACAACGGUUGAUAGAGAAGUGAGGGAAGCAUUGUGCUGCUUAUCUGGGAUGACCUUUUUCCAUUGGUCUGCCCAAAGCUGGAAACUCUGCCAUUGGUUCCCUCUCUCUCACAGCUAUCUCUGUGAGAAGUCUCUGAGAAUAUUAAUGUAAUUGGAGAACCUCCAAUGUUUUCUUUCUGUCUGCAUUAUUGAGUUCGCAUCUCUGGAAGAACUUGAAAUCCAGGAAUUGCCUAAAUCAAUGCUUUUACCAGCCCAGACUACACCUCACAUCUUUCCAAUAAAUGGACAUUGGAGAAUGUUCUUUGGUGCUAGAGAAAUAACGCGGAAUGGAGAAGACUGGAGAUAAGUUUUUAUCAAUAUAUUUCAUUUUUAUUAUUGCCAUUAGCUUUUUAUUUUAUUAUGAUAGGGGAUGGAGGGAUUGGGUUCAAAAAGAUUGAAAAACAAUAGGUGGAUCAAACAUAGGUUUUUUUACCUUUGUUGAUCAAACUCUUUGGUAUUAUAUCAUCCAUUGUUUCCUCCCAUGAAGUCAAUCAUAUUGUACCUUUAACCAAAUCUAUGAUUUUUUUUAUUUAAUCAUGGUUAGCCCACAAGACAGAUGAUUUUUUUUUAAUCAUUGUUUCCUCCCUUGAAGUCAAUCAUGAUUUUUUUAUUUAAUCAUGGUUAGCGUACUAAAUCAAUGCGUUUACCAAAAAAAAAAAAAAAAAAAAAGCUCUACGUAGUAACGUGUUUCUUCAUUGAUUUUUAAUUAAUUUGACCUGAUGCAUGAUCUCCAGGAGAAGCCAAGACACAGACAUCUAUACCUACCAUUAAUAAUUGAUGCUCUGAUACCUACUGCUCAGUGUUCAUCACUCAAAUGAAUCUUAGAAGAGUACUCUAGCUAUCAAAGCUUCUAAUUAAGUUUGAGAGACUGAGAGUGAAUUAGUGAAAGCCCUCUCCCCUUUCCUCUUCUCUCUUUUUUCCUCUGCAUAGAUCCAUCACUAACUAUUUCUUAUUUUCUAUCGAAUUAAUGGGUUUCGAGUACUUCAGUUACAUCAAGUUUAUAGCAGUGUUGAGAGUUUAACUAUAUUGAUCUUCUCUAACCAGCUCAACAUUCUAGGUAAGUAAUAGUAAUGUGAUCUAGAUCGGGAAAAAAAAAAUAUUGUAUUUUAUUACUAUAAAUAGCCAUUCAUGAACUUAAGCUUUUGUUAUGGGUAGGUUUUUGGUCAAUUAAUGCAUGGCAAAUCAGAAGGAUACAGAAAAUUUGGAAAUAGCAGAGAGCUUUAUCCAUCAAUGGGAAAGAGAAAAACCAAAGAUAUUUUCACCUGAGCAGCUACAAGACUUCACUUCAAAUUUUUCUAAGAAGUUAGGCUAUGGUUCAUUUGGAGAUGUUUUUCAAGGCAUAUACAAUGGAGAGCAAGUGGCUGUUAAGGUUCUCAAAGAAGUAGUACUGGCCGACAACUUAAAAGAUCAAUUCAUGGCUGAAGUGAGCACACUAGGGAAGAUUCACCAUAGAAACUUGGUCAAGCUCUAUGGCUUCUGCUUCCAACCCAAUAUGAAAGCACUUGUAUACGAAUUCAUGGAGAUGGGAUCUUUAGAUAAAGUUUUAAAUGGAGAACAAAGUAUAAAGUGGGAGACUUUGUGUAGUAUUGCAAUUGGGACUGCAAAGGGGCUCUCUUAUCUUCAUGAGGAUUGUCAACCCAGUAUAAUUCAUUAUGACAUUAAGCCUUCUAAUGUUCUGCUGGACUCAAACUUUUUUCCUAAAAUUGGUGAUUUUGGAUUAGCUAAGCUUCUUAAGAUGGAUAUAACUCAUGUCACCAUGUUUGAUUCUAGAGGGACUCCUUAUUAUUGUGCACCGGAGCUAUCUCUGCCAUACUU